UGUAGUCUAUAGAAGCGUGGUCAGUGUAGGCACYUGAGAUAAGUUCCUUGAAAAAGGACAGCAUGGAGGGUGAAACUCCCGUUCAUACUUGAGUAGCUUAUGCGUACGACCCGUUUUCUUUGAGUCGCGUUGUUUGAGAAUGCAGCGCAAAGUAGGUGGUAAAUUCCAUCUAAAGCUAAAUAUUGGUGCGAGACCGAUAGCAAACAAGUACCGUGAGGGAAAGAUGAAAAGAACUUUGAAAAGAGAGUUAAAGAGUACCUGAAACUGCUGAAAGGGAACCGGAUCGUUUCUAGUGUCUAUAAUCUGUGACAUAUUUCAUUGGGGAGUGUGUGCGUAUGUAUACUAUGGCAGUGGCUUUUUUGGCUGCGCUUGGUGUGCGUGCUGUAUGUGCUUACUGGUGCCCUGUGUUGCGGUGGGACGUCAAGGUCGGUUUGUAUACUGCGGGAAAUGGCUAUUGAGGAGGUAGGGCUUACGCUUGCGUUUGUCUAUUAUAUCUUGGUAGUUGUGUCGUGGUUGAGACUGAGGUGUCUAAAACGUGCUUAUGAGUGGGACUGUGUCUCCGUGUGCGCCGUGUGCGGAUAGCUUGCUAUGUGUGUGUGGUGGUGUGUGGAUUGAUGCGGGCUUUAACUUGUUGCCGUUCGGGACGUUGGCGAAAUAGAGCGAUCUGACCCGUCUUGAAACACGGACCAAGGAGUCUAACAUGUGUGCAAGUGUUAGGGUGUGGAAACCCAAGCGCGAAAUGAAAGUAAAGGAUAGUGUAAACUGUCUGAGGUAGGAAACGCUGCGGAUUUGUCUGUGGUGUGGCACUAUCGACCGAUCAUGAACCUUCGUGGUGAAAGAUUUGAGUUUGAGCACAUAUGUUGGUACCCGAAAGAUGGUGAACUAUGCCUGAGUAGGGUGAAGCCAG
rnacentral:rRNA from 1 species